rnacentral:rRNA from 1 species
CCCUUAGAUGUUCUGGGCCGCACGCGUGCUACACUGAACGGUUCAAUGGGUAAGGUAGUGCGAAAGCAUGACCUAAUCUCGAAAUCCGUUCGUGCUGGGGAUAGAAGCCUGCAAUUAUCCUUCUUGAACGAGGAAUACCUUGUAAGCGUGAGUCAUCAUCUCACGCUGAAUACGUCCCUGCCCUUUGUACACACCGCCCGUCGCUCCUACCGAUUGAGUGUUCCGGUGAGGCUUUGGGAGAAUGGCCUCAACAUGAGUUUAUCGUGUUUUGCCGUUUGAACUUAGUCAAACCUUAUCACUUAGAGGAAGGAGAAGUCGUAACA